rnacentral:rRNA from 1 species
UAGGGAAUCUUCGGCAAUGGACGAAAGUCUGACCGAGCAACGCCGCGUGAGUGAAGAAGGUUUUCGGAUCGUAAAACUCUGUUGUUAGAGAAGAACAAGGACGUUAGUAACUGAACGUCCCCUGACGGUAUCUAACCAGAAAGCCACGGCUAACUACGUGCCAGCAGCCGCGGUAAUACGUAGGUGGCAAGCGUUGUCCGGAUUUAUUGGGCGUAAAGCGAGCGCAGGCGGUUUCUUAAGUCUGAUGUGAAAGCCCCCGGCUCAACCGGGGAGGGUCAUUGGAAACUGGGAGACUUGAGUGCAGAAGAGGACAGUGGAAUUCCAUGUGUAGCGGUGAAAUGCGUAGAUAUAUGGAGGAACACCAGUGGCGAAGGCGGCUCUCUGGUCUGUAACUGACGCUGAGGCUCGAAAGCGUGGGGAGCAAACAGG